rnacentral:rRNA from 1 species
GCUACCUGCAGUCGACGGCAGCACAGAGGAGCUUGCUCCUUGGGUGGCGAGUGGCGGACGGGUGAGGAAUGCGUCGGAAUCUGCCUCUUUGUGGGGGAUAACGUAGGGAAACUUACGCUAAUACCGCAUACGACCUACGGGUGAAAGUGGGGGACCUUCGGGCCUCACGCAGAGAGAUGAGCCGACGCCGGAUUAGCUAGUUGGCGGGGUAAAGGCCCACCAAGGCGACGAUCCGUAGCUGGUCUGAGAGGAUGAUCAGCCACACUGGAACUGAGACACGGUCCAGACUCCUACGGGAGGCAGCAGUGGGGAAUAUUGGACAAUGGGCGCAAGCCUGAUCCAGCCAUGCCGCGUGUGUGAAGAAGGCCUUCGGGUUGUAAAGCACUUUUGUCCGGAAAGAAAACCUUUCGAUUAAUACUCGGAGGGAAUGACGGUACCGGAAGAAUAAGCACCGGCUAACUUCGUGCCAGCAGCCGCGGUAAUACGAAGGGUGCAAGCGUUACUCGGAAUUACUGGGCGUAAAGCGUGCGUAGGUGGUUUGUUAAGUCUGAUGUGAAAGCCCUGGGCUCAACCUGGGAACGGCAUUGGAUACUGGCUUACUAGAGUGCGGUAGAGGGGUGCGGAAUUCCCGGUGUAGCAGUGAAAUGCGUAGAUAUCGGGAGGAACAUCCGUGGCGAAGGCGGCACCCUGGACCAGCACUGACACUGAGGCACGAAAGCGUGGGGAGCAAACAGGAUUAGAUACCCUGGUAGUCCACGCCCUAAACGAUGCGAACUGGAUGUUGGGUGCAACUAGGCACUCAGUAUCGAAGCUAACGCGUUAAGUUCGCCGCCUGGGAAGUACGGUCGCAAGACUGAAACUCAAAGGAAUUGACGGGGGCCCGCACAAGCGGUGGAGUAUGUGGUUUAAUUCGAUGCAACGC